AUGGAGCGGGCACCGGAGCAUCGGCCGCAAAAGCUCUCCGUCGCCGCCGGCGUCGGCGGUGGAGGCGGCGAGGACCGCCUCAGCGCACUGCCGGACGACGUCCUCGUCCACAUCCUCCUCAAGCUCUGCGACACUGCCCUCGCCGCUCGGACCAGCGUCCUCGCCCGCCGCUGGCGCCGCGUCUGGGCUCUCCUCCCGGAGCUCCAUUUUCCCGUCGGCACUGGCCCCGACCGGAUACGCGCCGCUCUCACCGCCCACGAUGCGCCGGCCUUCCGGCACCUCUUCGUCGCCGCCAUCGAGGUCACCCCGGAAUCCGCUGCGUCAUGGCUCCCCAUCGCCGCGCGCCGCCUCUCUGGUGUCCUGCAUUUCAAGAACAGGGGGGACAUGAACGAGGCCUCCGCCGGGGAGAGAGGUGCCUUGCAGUUGCCUUGCUUCGAGAAAGCAACCAAGGUCGUGCUCGAUCUACGUUCGAUUGGCCUCACCCUGCCGCCUUCCGGCGAAUUUACCCGGCUCACCGAUCUGGAGCUGGUUCACAUACAGCUGCACGGUCCGUGUAGCCUCAGCGACGUUGUCUCUUCACCGCGGUGUCCAUCUCUGUUUUCUGCACGCAAUCGUCACAGCUUGAUGCUUCCACACCAUUUUCACCACAUCAGCAAACUUAUUCUCAUCCUUCUCUAUCUACCGGUCUGUGGGGACAAACGAUUCUUGAUGGAGGAGAUGACAAAGUUACCUAACAUCACCACCUUGGGACUGGUCGUAUUGGCCUGUGGACAUUCGUUUGGAGCCGGCUCAUUCCAUGUUCUCAAGAUGUCUAGUGGUAUAAGAGAGCUGACGCUUCAACUUGUCACUCGGAGCGACUGUAAGGCAUUUGCUGUGUGCCAAUCAGGUUGCAUUUGUGCUGAGCCAUCAAACUGGGAAACCGAGGACCUCGUGCUACCUUGCCUCAAAGAAUUAGCAAUCAAUGACCUGAGAGGAACUGAACAUGAACUCGCUCUUGUCAAAAGGUUAUUCAAGUGGGCAGCAAUGCUAGAAAGGGUGGCAGUAAUUUUCGAGGACUCGAUCGCUGAAAGCAACUGUGAAGAGUUGCGCCGGUUGCUACUAAGCUUCUCUAGGCCAGCAAUAUGUAUGAAAUUCUCGCAUGGAGGAUGUUUGCCAUUUGACUAG
rnacentral:rRNA from 1 species